rnacentral:lncRNA from 10 species
ACACGCCGGGCGCCCUGCGCUCCGAGCGCUGAGAAAGAAAUCCGCCCCGAGAUGCACCUGCAGCCCCGCGCCCAUCCGUGCGUGGCUGCGGCUGUGCGUGCCCGCGAACGGGGACCAGCGGCCGCCGAGUCCGUCCACAUCGCCAGGCCAGGAGUCAGAACAAGGACGGGCCUGUGAUGUGUCUGUCUAUGACGAGGAGGACAAUGUCCUAAGGAAUGGAGAGGAAGAAAGUGAAGGGAACCAGGUCCCUGGAUUCCAUGUGGAACAGUAGCCCAGGAUGUGCACUAUGGACUGUUACAAGAGAGAGACAUGAUCUUCCUUAAGGCAUUGAUUUGUCAUGAGUCUCUUUGUUAUAGCCACUUAACGUUACCUUAAUACACCCACUUCAUGGAUAAGUAAAACUGAGGCUUGGAGAAGCCCACAUUGACACAGCAAAGAAGGCUGGGGCUCUUGUGCUGGUUAAAUGGACCUUGAUGUCUUCCAAAUGUUUUCAUGCUGGAUUCUGAGCCACUCUCCUGGCUGCAACUCUGAGGCCGGGCAGACUUUCCGCUGGAAAGAGAACUCAAAUACUGGUGAGAGGUGGAUUUGAAGCCAGGAGCCCCAGGUUUUGGCUCUGCAGGUUUGCACCCAGCUCUGUGGUGUAUGCCCUCACAGGUCACCCA